CACCGGCAGCUCUAGUGGUAGCUGUUUUUAUUGGGCCUAAAGCGUUCGUAGCCGGUUUGAUAAGUUCUUUGGUGAAAUCCUGUAGCUUAACUAUGGGAAUUGCUGAGGAUGCUGUCAGGGCUUGAGGUCGGGAGAGGUUAGCGGUACUCCCAGGGUAGGGGUGAAAUCCUGUAAUCCUGGGAGGACCACCUGUGGCGAAGGCGGCUAACGUGGAAACGAACCUGACGGUGAGGGGUACGAAAAGCUAGGGGGCGCGAACCGGAUUAGAUACCCGGGUAGUCCUAGCCGUAAACGAUGCGGACUGGGUGUUGGGGUGGCUUCGUGCUGUUCCGGUGCCGAAGGGAAGCUGUUAAGUCCGCCGCCUGGGAAGUACGGUCGCAAGACUGAAACUUAAAGGAAUUAGGCGGGGGAGCACCACAACGCGUGGAGCCUGCGGUUU
rnacentral:rRNA from 1 species